GCGUGCCGGUCGAGGGUCCAUACAAGCCAGCUGCCUACAGGUACUGAAGAGGGGUCGUCAAUGAGACGAGAAAUGAGAAAAAGAAAACUAUAUCUGGACGACGGGUUGUUUUUUGCUUUUGAUUAUUUUCACUUGUGAUGAAAUGCGGUAGAUUUUCUAGGUUUAUAAAUUUUGUAGGAGUUUGUGUCGGUGGGUUUCGGAGGGUAUGGGAUGUGUGAGGGAAAGGGAUGAUUUAGGUCUCAAUGGAAGACCUAGGGGCUUGAAUAAGGGAAUGGGACGGGGGUUGUGUGGGAUAAUUUCUGCUGCAGCAUCACUUGUGUGCUGCAUCCGGUUAUCUAUCGUUUUACUACCAAGAAAUGGAUUAAAAAAAAAAAAACUAUUUACCGUCAUUUGGAGUUUUGGUUCGAUUCGUCCUCGGUGUUACGAUUGGAUUCAUUUUGUUUGUUUUUGCGUUUGCCUAUCCGAUU
rnacentral:lncRNA from 1 species